GUGGGGAAUUUUGGACAAUGGGCGCAAGCCUGAUCCAGCAAUGCCGCGUGCAGGAAGAAGGCCUUCGGGUUGUAAACUGCUUUUGUACGGAACGAAACGGUCCGGGUUAAUACCCUGGGCUAAUGACGGUACCGUAAGAAUAAGCACCGGCUAACUACGUGCCAGCAGCCGCGGUAAUACGUAGGGUGCAAGCGUUAAUCGGAAUUACUGGGCGUAAAGCGUGCGCAGGCGGUGCUGUAAGACAGGCGUGAAAUCCCCGGGCUUAACCUGGGAAUUGCGCUUGUGACUGCAGUGCUGGAGUGCGGCAGAGGGGGAUGGAAUUCCGCGUGUAGCAGUGAAAUGCGUAGAUAUGCGGAGGAACACCGAUGGCGAAGGCAAUCCCCUGGGCCUGCACUGACGCUCAUGCACGAAAGCGUGGGGAGCAAACAGGAUUAGAUACCCGAGUAGUCC
rnacentral:rRNA from 1 species